GUGAUUUUGUUAUGGUUUUUGUCCUGUCUCCACCCCUGUCUUGUCAUUGGUUGUUUCUGCAGAGCUCCAGCCAGAGGUCAACGUGGUGACCUCGGCUCCAGAGCACCAGCUCGAGACCUUCGAGGUGGUCUCACCUGCUGAGCUCCAGCCGGAGGUCAACAUGGUGGUCUCAUCUACCAAGCUCCAGCCAGAGGUCAACAAGAUGACCUCCCAAGCCAUGUUCAAGUGCGAGAUCGAAGAGGCGACUUUUCAAGCCAAGUACCUGUCAGCCAGCCUGUCAAGCCAAGUUCAUGUCCGAGGUCGAAGAGGCAACCUCUCAAGCCAAGUUCCUGUCAGAGGUCGACGAGACGGCCUCCCAAGCCACGUUCAUGUACGAGGUCGAAGAGACGGCUUCCCAAGCCAAGUUCUUGUCCCAGGUCGAAGAGACAGCCUCCCGAGCCACGUUCAUGUCUGAGGUCGAGGAGGUGACCUCCCACGCCAUGUUCCAGUAUGAGAUCGAUGAUGUGACCUUCCGUGCCACAUUCCAGUCUGAGAUCGAAAUGUGACCUUCCAUGCCACGUUCCAGUCUGAGACCGAUGUCACGACCAACCAAGUUAUAU
ensembl:lncRNA